AACAAACGCUGGCGGCGUGCCUAAUACAUGCAAGUCGAACGGGGAUAGCUUUCGGGUGAGUACUAGUGGCGCACGGGUGAGUAACGCGUGGAUAAUCUGCCUUAGAGUGGGGGAUAACUAGUCGAAAGAUUAGCUAAUACCGCAUAAGACCACAAGAACUGCGGUUCAAGGGGUCAAAGGUUUUUCGCUCUAAGAUGAGUCCGCGUAAGAUUAGCUAGUUGGUAGGGUAACGGCCUACCAAGGCGACGAUCUUUAACUGGUCUGAGAGGAUGAUCAGUCACACUGGAACUGAGACACGGUCCAGACUCCUACGGGAGGCAGCAGUAGGAAAUAUUGCACAAUGGAGGAAACUCUGAUGCAGCGACGCCGCGUGAGUGAUGAAGGCCUUCGGGUCGUAAAGCUCUGUCGCAGGGGAAUAACACAAUGAAGGUACCCUGUAAGAAAGGAUCGGCUAACUUCGUGCCAGCCGCCGCCGUAAAAC
rnacentral:rRNA from 1 species